GGAACUGGGCCCGGGGGAGCCUCUGCUGCUGGUUUUGGUCCAGGAAGUCAAGGGGGUGUGGUUGGAUCACAAGGUGCCAGUCAAGGGACCGGAGGAGGCCUCGUACCUGGAGGUGGCUUUGGUGGAAGUUACGGCCAAGGCGGCAGUGUCCAGUACCCAGGACUUGGUGGAACUGGACCCAAACCUCCUAAAUCAGGUUACACCCCAGGGGGAACAGGAUUCGGACCUGGUGGUGCAGGGGUUGCACCAGGGGGUGCUGGAUUUGGGCCUGGAGGGGCUGGAUUUGGACCUGGAGGUGCAGGAGUUGGGCCUGGUGGUGCAGGAUUUGGGCCUGGAAGUGCCGGCGUAGGGCCUGGUGGCGCAGGAUUUGGGCCUGGAGGUGCCGGCGUAAGGCCUGGGG